UCCGCCCGCCGCCCUCACGCGUCCGCCGGCACCCGGGCUGCGACCUGGGGCCGCCGAGAUACCCCGGCCCUGCUUCAGCGCAGCCGGCAGGGAGCGGCCCGGGGAGGGGGCGGAAAGAAGUCACUCCCCUUCUAAAAGGUGGUGUGCCCCUCCGGCUUUCGAGAGCUCCUCAGUGGCCACACUUGAACCCGGCUUACUGAUCGCUGCCCUUGCUUCACCAGAGAUGUCCGUGACUGGGUUUGAAUUGGCAAUACAAGCCUUUCAAUCGAAACAAGCAGCUCAGGAGUAUUUUAUCAGCACGCCAGAGCACUGUGUGUCUGUGCCGUCCCCCCCACCCCCUGCAGUAAACGCACAGGCUGUUGGGGCAUCUAUGUUCCUAUGAGCAUGGCUGAACCAUUACAUCAUCUGGGACUUUGUGACCUUGCAAAGUGGAUGUUCUAUUUGCAUGAGGAAGAUGCCAUUAAAUUCAAACCAAGAUACUAUAAGACAAGGUUAGAAGCAGCUUCUUCAACAUUCAGCAUAGCUGUACUUGAGAAUUACCUGGUUUUGCUUCCCAUGCUGUGACAUUUGAGACCUGCCCUCCAAGAGCCGGUGGAAGGCUGUGGACUUGUCAGCUCGACAUUUUAGAUGGUAUCACAGUCAUAUCAUCACCUCUGCCUUAGUGCUGGCUUGGAGGCAAAGAUACACCAAAUGAGUAUAUGGAGUGGCUGUUAAGGGCUCUGCUCACAAACCUCAUCAAAAGCACAUUAAUUUCAGAGGAAACAUGAUUUUAUAAUUAUUUCACUGCACUUCAGAUUAAUUGAAAAGGCAUUCUUCUUGUUUAAAGUCUUAACAAAAAUAUUAAAGAUCAUGGUGUAAGGAGGUACUAAAUGCAGACACAGAAUCUUUUGAAAGCAAUAACUUGAUUUCUGGCCACUAGUUGUACUACAUUACUACUUCAAUGAAGACACAGAAAUAAGUGGUUUAUCCCUUAAAUGAGUACAUCCACAGUGACUUUUGCUGUAAGAAUAAUACUAAGAAUGAUAUAGGAGUGAUCUUUUAAACAGUUUGUUUCUAAAGGAUGUUUAGUUGAAGGUCCCUCAGUUUAGUAGUUAUCUCUCAAUGGUAUUUCCUGUGAAUAGCCUUUCAUCCUUCUGUUCCAAAAAUAAUAAGUGCAAAAUAAGCUGGUGCUGAAGUCAGAAAACCUAGGAACCAAAUUCUGAAAUAGCUCUAGCUGUGACGCUAGGAAAUCAGCCAGUCUGGUUCCAACCCCUGGGAAAAUAGGAACUUCGGCCUGCCAAUAAAAAGAACAAGCACUCGUUUAUCUUCCUCGAGAGUACUGAUCUGCAUCUCGUAUAUGUCUAAUUGCAUCAAUAUACUGUCAAAGUGAAUCCCUUUGUGGUAGUCACCGAAACAGUGACAACCCACCAGUUGCUAAUGACGUUUUCAAAACUAUUCCAGAAGUGACAAGGCAAAUGUCUAAUAGCAAUUUUUAAAUCAGAUCAGAUUUUUGAACAGGUGGUUGUCAGGUCUUUUUCCAAUGUAGAUGCAAUUAAUGCCUUCUAUUCAUCAUGUACUAUUCUUUUAGUCAUCUUAGAAUAGCAUGAAGGUUGGUGAUUGUUUCUCAUAGAUCACUUGUUUGCUUGGAUUUGAGGAACUCAAGUUUCUUUUCUCCACUUGCUUUAAACCUUACAGUAGGAAAGACUUCAGUCAUAAGUUUGCUAUUUCUUAGUGCAUCUGGAAAAUGUAUUAUUGAAUUCAAAACCUAAAUUAAAAAUAAGGGAGUGGGGGAAACAUUCAGUUCAAGUGAAAUGCAAAUUUUUGUAUUUAAAAGAA